AAUGGAUGCAAACACUCUCUAAGCAACAGCGGAUCCUACUGCUAAGAGAGAAAGGCUCCUGCUGCAUCGAAGAUAAAUGGAGUUUUGUUUCUGACUUCAAUGGGAGCAGGAUUGGAUCUUUACACUCCCACAUAAGGUGUGGCACACUGGGCAAAAUAAAAAGAGGCAAAAUUUCCAUUGACCUCAAGGCCUCAACGGGAGUUUGUGGACUAAGAUGAAGAUUUGGCUCAAUAUCUGACAACUUUAUGCUAAUUGCUGGGCGCAAGACAGAUUUGCUUUUUAUUAAAAUGAUCUGAUAACUUUUUUCCAGUUUUUUUUUCCCCAGCAGAUGACAAAAUGUGCUCAUAUAUAGCAAUCUUAUUCUGGGUCUGUUCUGUCUAGCUCAGCACAAAAGUGGUGAAAAGCUGCAAAAUCGUAAUGUCAACUUGAGCAUCUUGCUGAGCCUCCUGGAUUCUUGAAAAUAUAGUCCUCUGACCCUAGAACCGUGCAGCUAGUGGCUAUCGCAAUGAAGAGUAACUAGUUCCUAGGACAGACGUGAACCAGGCUCACUUACUCAACGGACACGACCACCGAUUCGCUUUCUCUGGCGAUGUAGCGGCAUAUGGGUUCAUGGGAAUCUGGAAAACAAAUGUUUUCACUGGUGUCUUGCUAGCGCUCUAAGGAGUAGCAAUUCUAUACCCUGUUAGCGCUCUGAUGCAUUUAAGGGAAAUGACAAUUCUCUCCUUUCCCCCAUCUAAGCCCCGCUCUUUCCCACCCUUUACACACUACUCCAGCUUCAUUUCUCCCUGUCCCCUUUGCUCAUCAUGAUAUCACACCUCUUUCCAAGCUGCCCCACUGUCUGGAACAGCCAUGUAAUGUUCACCAAGUCGUCUCUUCUGCCAGAGUAUGUGUGUAUUUGCUGGUGAAGAGUCAAACCUCAAACCUUCUCCCAAAUCUCAGGCCCAAACCAACUUCCCUUUGAUGUUUGUAAAAAUGGGGUGACUUUUUAUCUUUAAUUAUCCAGCAUAUUUUUUCUGUUAAAUAUCUUACCAAUGCUUCCAAACACCCAGCCUCCUCCAUGAAAGUAGAUGACCCCUCUCCUUCGGCCAGCAGAAGGUGCUCUAGGCUGGUAAAUCCUCACUGGCACCUUCCCAAACUGUAGGUCCUUGAUGAAGAGCUUUGGGUCCUCCCCUAAUUUCUUUAAACAUCGCAUAUAGCGGGUGAAGCCAAGUUGACUGCACAGACCCAGCUUCUCCAAAAUCUUUCCCUGUUUAGAGUGAAAGAGACCAGGGAUUAGCAUAAAGAAACCUCCAUGCUCCUCAAUAGGCAUAAGCUGUGCUCUCUUUGGAGAAACUACGGCAGGAUCAAAAGUCUAGAGCUCAUACAGAAAAAAAAUAAUGACUGUGGAGUUCCAGGCGCUAGCACAAUACGGAUAAAUAAAAUAAAAAUAACAACAGCAGCAGCACCACAGAGAAAUGAAACGCAGGCAAUGUCUAUGCAGCCAUCUUCUCACUCUGCAUUAUCAUUGGUCCUCUGCCCUUUACUGGAGAGUUCAGUCUCCUUAGGUUAUUCAGUCCUUAGUUAUUCUGCUAUGAAUGCCACCAAGGGAACAGAUAAGUAACAAGUGUAGUGGUGGUUUUCUUGACAUGGACACUCAGCCACAAGGACUGAGAGAAGAGGUCACCAACCAGAAUUCAGGCUACAAUGAUUUUUCAUUAUACCAGCAAUUAGACGCAAAGGAUUCUACCAUGUAGCCCAUUACCAAUCACCUGGUCUGCCCUUAAAAAAAAAAAGCAGGCUGAAAAUCAAGCUGUCCCACAGAGUAAUUUGCCAUCCAGAUGGUAGGUAAAAAUAAGGAAUGGAUUCUAAUACUUUUGUAAAUUCCAAAGGAUGGCGAUCAAUUAUUCUCCAAAUCUACUGAAGGUAGGACAAGAAGUAAUGGGCUUAAUCUGCAGCAGGGGAGAUUGUUUGGUUCUCUGGCCAAACCAAGAAAUCAAAUAAAAAUCAUUCUGGGUUGCCCCAAAACAAAAAGAAUUUUGUUUUUUUUAAAGUUCUCUGGUUUGGGUCCAACAAAAUAUUUUGUUGCAGUGUUGAGUUUUUUUAAAUCCUGUUUUAAAAAAAAACAAAUUUAGGCAAAUUUGGAUGCAAAAGUCGAAAAUAUCGAGAUGGUUUGUUUUGAAAAUGUUGAAAUGGAGUAUUUUGACUUUUUCAGUUUAAUGUAUUUGGCCAAAACUAUUUCGCAAAUUUGUCACAGAUUCGCGAAUGCGAUUCAAAACUGCAUUAUUCAGCAAAUAACACAUUUGUCUGAAAAUGUUUUGCCUAGCUCUAGUUAUGGGUAGAGUGAUGGUAUGAGCAAAGAAAUGAAAGGAGAUCAGCCAGGAGACGUAUUGAAAGCAAGGGAAGAAAGAAACCUUGAAUUUGCUACAUAAAGGUAUGAGCAAUUAGCAGAGCCCUAAUGCACAGCCUACAAGAAUCAACAAGGGGUAUAAGAUGUAAGGAAAAAUACCCUGAAUGAAUGUGAAUGUGAGCCCAGUUCACUGAGUGAUUGUCUAAUCUAGACCCAAUGGGACUUUGUACCACAGAUAAUGUUAGCAGUGGGCAGUUAUAUCAGUGCAAUUGUCCUUAAGCCUGGCAAGGUGACUUCUUCUGGGAGCGAGAGUGACAUUCGCAGGCUAAUGACGCCAGAACAGUUUAAUAUUCAGUAACGUUAAGCUUUCAAUAUGAGGCUCGUGGUUAUGGGUCCAAAUGUGCUAUAUGGUAUUGUUGACUCAAAACUGUAACACAUUACUUGGAAUUUUAUUGAAACCAUAACCCAUUAAAUUUGUUUCUUCCAAAAAAUUGAACAUGUCAUGGUUUACACCCUCUAUGCCACUCUCAGACCCUAUCAUACAUCUCAGAGACUUCAGAGCAAUCAUCUUCUGUCCUGUUUUUUCCUUUUCUUCUGAUGCAAACCGCCUCACUUGAUAACAUCUGGGGUAUUUGUCACUUGCCUCUUGAGUCAGAAGGUUAUUAGCUCGGAAUUUGGGCUCAUCCCCACUACUAACACCGCAGUGUGUUAAUUGAAAUCGGAAUUAAUUUAAUAGGCAGCAGGUUUAAAACAAACAAAAAGAAGUAUGUCUCCACACAAUGUCCAGGCAACCUGUGGAACUCAUUCAUUGUCACAGGAUGUUGUGAAGGCCAAAAGUAUAACUGGAUUUUAAAAAGUAUUAGAUAAAUUCAUGGAGGAGCGGUCCAUCAAUGGCUGUUAGCCAAGAUGGUCAGGGACACAACCUCAUACUCCAGGUGUCCCUAAAUCUCUAACUGCCUGAAGCUGAGACUGAACAAUACGGGAUGGAUCACUUGAAAUUGCCCUCUUCUGCUCACUGCCUCUGAAGCAUCUGGUGUUGGCCACUGUUGGAAGACAGGAUACUGGACUAGAUGCAUCAUUGAUCUGACCCAGUAUGGCAGUUCUUAGGUUCCCAUGGAAGGUGUUGCACCAUUCAAGAAGCCUUGCUUCAGACUACAUUCCUGCUGCAUGUCUCAGGCAAGGAUUGGAGGGUGGGCAAGAACAAAUCAGAGCGAACUAGACACUUCACGAAAAAGAGUCAGGGUGCCCCAAGGCUAUUGUUCUCUCUCUUCAAACAGGUUAUAGGGCCUGAGCUAUAGCUCAUGGAAGUCAAUGGGAGUCCUUCUACUGAUGUCACCGGGCUUUGAAUCCAUCCGCUAAUGUCCAAGUCUAUUCUCAACAAAAAAUGACGGUCGCAUUUGCCUCGACUGUCACUGCAUUAGGAUAGAAUUAGCUGGGUGAGGUCAUCUCUUUUUCUGGACCAUCUUCUGUUGGUGAAAGAGACAAGUUUGUGAGCUUACACAGAGCUCUUCUUCAGGUGUGGGCAAAGAGCUGUGUGUAAUCGCGGAAGCUGGUCUCUUUCACCAACAGAAGUUGGUCCAAUAAAAGAUACAACCUCACCCAUUUUGUUUUUCUGUUAUCCUGGGGAUAACACAGCUACAACACUGCAAACUGCAUGACUAUCUCUCAGUAAAGUAAUUACCUAUGAAAGGCAUUUUGUUAAACUGGUAGUGAAUUUGCUUGUAAAUAAAUAUGUUCCCUACACUUGACACUGAAGAUAACCAAACUAAGCAGACUCUGUAAAGUAGUGAUUUAAAUUCUGUAAGGCUCUGGUAACUUUAAAGAAAUUAAUGCUUGUGCUUUUGAUUAUAUAUAAA